CUUGAUGGAGCCCAGCCACAGCGGCCGGUCGUCGUCGCGGUCCUGGCCGUACGUCGCAAGCAGCGCCUGCGCUUC
rnacentral:antisense_RNA from 1 species